rnacentral:lncRNA from 1 species
CCCUCCCUCCUCUCUCUCUCUCUCUCUAGAAGAGAACCAAUGGGCUCUCUGCCUUUCUCACUCUCUCUCUCUCUCCUCUCUCUGCGUUACUGUGUGGGGAAAAAAAAAAUUGAAGGAAUCAGAGUGAAAGGUUGCGAACCACUCGUUGCUACACGGGUGCGCAAAAAAAUAUCAAGGGGACAAACCCAAAGUUUGAACUCGCAAGGUGCCUCCAGAAUCUAUGGAAGAACAGUAUACUGUGUUGCUGUAGGAUCAUUUUGUGCGUCUACUCUGUCACUGCAAAAGAGGUUUUAAU